GCGACUGUAGCUCAGUGGUAAAGUUUCUGACUGACAAUCAGAGCUUUUGGCGUGGGUUCAAUUCCCAUGAGUGGCA